rnacentral:lncRNA from 1 species
AUGAUUACACCAUGGCAAUACCAUCUCUCUCCUCCCAUCUCUAUCUUCCAUCUCUCUCCUCCAUCUGUCUCCUUCAGCUCUCUCCAGCAAUCUCUCUUGCAUCUAUCUCCUGCCAUCUCUCUCCUGCCAUCUAUCUCCUGCCAUCUCUCUCCUGCAAUCUAUCUCCUUCCAGCUCUCUUCUGCCAUCUCGCUCCUGCUUUCUAUCUCCUGCCAGCACUCUUCUGCCAUCUCUCUCCUCCAUCUCUCUCCUCCCAUCUCUCUCCUCCAUCUCUAUCCUCCUCCAUCUCUCUCCUCCACUCUCUCCCCCAUCUCUCUGCUGCAUCUCUCUCCUCCCAUCUCUCUCCUUCCAUCUCUCUCUUGCCAUCUCUCUCCUCCUAUCUCUUCCAUCUCUCUCCUUCAUCUCUCUCCUUCCAUCUCUCUCUUGCCAGCUCUCUCCUUCAGCUCUCUCCUCCAUCUCUCUUCUGCCAUCUCUCCCCUCCAUCUCUCUCCUGCCUACUCUCUCUUCCAUCUCUCUCCUGCCACCUUUCUCCUUUAUCUCUCUGCUGCAUCUCUCUCCUCCAUCUCUCUCCUCCAUCUCUCUCCUGUAGCUCUCUGCUGCCAUCUCUCUCCUUUAUGUCUCUCCUGCCAUCUCUCUCCUUUAUCUCUCUUCUCCAUCUCUCUCCUUCUCUCUCCUCCCAUAUCUCUCCUCCAUCUCUCUCCUCCCAUCUCUCUCCUCCCAUCUCUCUCCUCCCAUCUCUCUGCUCCCAUCUCUCCUCCCAUCUCUCUGCUACUAUAUCUCUGCUACCAUCUCUCUACUACCAUUACUCUCCUCCCAUCUCUCUGCUACCAUCUCUCUCCUCCCAUCUCUCUGCUACCAUCUCUCUCCUCCCAUCUCUCUGCUACCAUCUCUCCUCCCAUCUCUCUGCUGCCAUCUCUCUCCUCCCAUCUCUCCUCCCACCUCUCUGCUACAAUCUCUCUCUUGCCAGCUUUCUCCUUCAGCUCUCUCCUCCAUCUCUCUCCUGCCAGCUCCCUCCUCCCAUCACUCUCCUCCAUCUCUCUCCUGCAUCUCUCUCCUGCCAUCUCUCUCCUUCAGCUCUCCCCUGCUAUCUCUCUCCUACCAUCUCUCUCCUCCCAUUUCUCCUCCCAACUCUCUGCUACCAGCUCUCUCCUGCCAUCACUCACCUCCUCCUCCUCUCUCCUCAACCUCUCUCCUCCCAUCUCUCCUGCCAUCUCUCUCCUCCCAUCUCUCUCCUGCCAUCUCUCUCCUUCCAUCUCUCUCUUCCAACUAUCUCCUUCAGCUCUCUCCUCCCAUCUCUCUCCUCCAUCUCUCUCCUCCCAUCUCUCUCCUCCAUCUCUCUCCUCCAUCUCUCUCCUCCAUCUCUCUCCUCCCAUCUCUCUCCUCCAUCUCUCUCCUCCCAUUUCUCCUCCCAACUCUCUGCUACCAGCUCUCUCCUGCCAUCACUCACCUCCUCCUCCUCUCUCCUCAACCUCUCUCCUCCCAUCUCUCCUGCCAUCUCUCUCCUCCCAUCUCUCUCCUGCCAUCUCUCUCCUUCCAUCUCUCUCUUCCAACUAUCUCCUUCAGCUCUCUCCUCCUCUCUCCUCCAUUUCUCUCCUUCAUGUCUCUCCUGCCAGCUCCCUCCUCCCAUCUCUCUUCUCCAUCUCUCUCCUCCAUCUCUCUCCUCCCAUCUCUCUCCUCCCAUCUCUCUCCUUCAGCUCUCUCCUCCUCUCUCCUCCCAUCUCUCUCCUUCAUGUCUCUCCUGCCAGCUCCCUCCUCCCAUCUCUCUCCUCCAUCUCUCUCCUCCAUCUCUCUCCUCCCAUCUCUCUCCUCCCAUUUCUCUCCAGCAGCUCUCUCCUCCUUUCAGCUGCACUGUGACAUAUCAGCUGCAGGCUAUCAAGGCACAUGUUUGUGAACUAAAAAUAAUGUUUCUCUCCGUUGAUCUUCAAGGCAGGUAG